rnacentral:rRNA from 1 species
UACGGAGGAUCCAAGCGUUAUCCGGAUUUAUUGGGUUUAAAGGGUGCGUAGGCGGAAGAUUAAGUCGGCGGUGAAAUUUUGCAGCUCAACUGUAAAAGUGCCAUCGAUACUGGUUUUCUUGAGUGUGGAUGAAGUAGGCGGAAUUUGUGGUGUAGCGGUGAAAUGCAUAGAUAUCACGAGGAACUCCGAUUGCGCAGGCAGCUUACUAGGCCAUAACUGACGCUCAGGCACGAAGGCGUGGGGAUCAAAC